UGGCAAUAAUUAAGAUCUAUCCAGUGGUGGUAGAAUAAUACCUAAUAUUACCUAGUAAUACCUAAGAGCAUAUGCCCUAUAAAUAGGGGUGGUUUUUGUAACUGCGUGAAGUGUUGGUUUUCUAAUGAGCUUUAGUAGGUUUAUUUGCCUUGGAAAUCAAUGGAGAUGGGACACUGAAAAUCAAAUGAUGUCAUAAAACAAAAUUCCCUAAGAGGCAUGGAGAGAAAACUCCGCAUUCUGAUGAUGGGAGUGUAGAAAUCCAUUGCCUUGCACAGGCCCCUAAUGGAUCCUAUGAGCAGUAGGAGGGGGUUAUGACUAGAGAAGAUGCAGACAUAGGCCUGUCCCUGCAAGUUAGUUCCCUGAGCUGGAGCUGACUCUUCCCAGGAUGACUGAGAGUGGAAACAACCAGUCCCCCAGGGAAGGCCCAACCCUGACUUUUUAUCUCCACUGAAAAAUGAUAUCAGAAUACAUAGGUGUGGCCAGGUGCUCAUGUCUGUAAUCCCAGCACUUUGGGAGGCUGAGGCGGGUGGAUUGCUUCGAGCCCAGACAACAUGCUGAAACCCCAUCUCUGCAAAAAAUACAAAACUUAGCUGGGCGUGGUGGCCUGCACCUGUAGUCCCAGGACCUAGGCUUGCACCACCACUCUUGCUUCAUACUUUGAGGUUCCAGCCCCUUACCUCGCCAGUUUUUGCUGCUUCUCACGUAGCUGGGAGCUUGUGAAACCUAAUGCCAAAAUCAGUGUUUGUGUACUGGAUUCACCAGGGGAGAAAAUGUUGAAUCAGAUUCUCAGCCUGCCUGAGCCUCCUACCUUUUGUAUUCUUCAUGUAUCAUAAUAUUUAAUAAAAGGGAAACUGUAGUCUUUAAUUCUC
rnacentral:lncRNA from 1 species